UACGUAGGGGGCUAGCGUUGUCCGGAUUUAUUGGGCGUAAAGAGCGUGUAGGCGGCCAGGUAGGUCUGCUGUGAAAACUCGAGGCUCAACCUCGAGCUGUCGGUGGAAACUGUCUGGCUAGAGUCCGGAAGAGGAGAAUGGAAUUCCUGGUGUAGCGGUGAAAUGCGCAGAUAUCAGGAAGAACACCCGUGGCGAAGGCGGUUCUCUGGGACGGUACUGACGCUGAGACGCGAAAGCGUGGGGAGCGAACAGG
rnacentral:rRNA from 1 species